rnacentral:rRNA from 1 species
CCGCGGUAAUACGGAGGAUCCCAGCGUUAUCCGGAAUCAUUGGGUUUAAAGGGUCCGUAGGCGGGCCUGUAAGUCAGUGGUGAAAUCCGGCGGCUUAACCGUCGAACUGCCAUUGAUACUGCAGGUCUUGAAUUAUUGGGAAGUAACUAGAAUAUGUAGUGUAGCGGUGGAAUGCUUAGAUAUUACAUGGAAUACCGAUUGCGAAGGCAGGUUACUAUCAAUACAUUGACGCUGAUGGACGAAAGCGUGGGGAGCGAACAGGAUUAGAUACCCUGGUAGUCCACGCCGUAAACGAUGGAUACUAGCUGACGGGGCGCAAGCCUCGGUGGCUAAGCGAAAGUGAUAAGUAUCCCACCUGGGGAGUACGAACGCAAGUUUGAAACUCAAAGGAAUUGACGG